GUCUACGGCCAUACCACCCUGAACGCGCCCCCAUCUCGUCUGAUCUUGGAAGCUAAGCAGGGUCAGGCCUGGUUAGUACUUGGAUGGGAGAGAGGACACCAGUAUCCUGUAAAGC
rnacentral:rRNA from 1 species